CAGAAGGAAUGACCGGGAAAUUGGCAGUAUUUCUGACAUAAACAAAGGAUAUUGAAAGAAGAAAUUUGCUAUGAUUUGGGGAAGUUUCCGUGCUUAAGAAACCGAUCCAGGAUUUAUCGAGAUUUUGAUAAGUUUGUGCAACAUACCAUUGAGAAUAAAUCCAAGAAUUGAGAAGAACCCCAGGAAGACACAUGCAUUUGCAACAGAGCUCAGUGGACCGAGGUUUCGCAUAUUCCUAACUUUGCGAUACUCGUCACUACCAUCGUCGUACGAGUAUUGGUAGGUGGAGUUCAUCAUUUGAUCGAUCGCAGCUUUCUUGCACUUCACAAUCAG